UAGAUAUCAAGACUAACAUGAUGC
rnacentral:siRNA from 1 species